AGAAUAGGCCUCUUUGGCACAUGUGAUUAGCUAGGUAGCUUGAGCUAUGCCGUUAUAUCGCUGUAACCCAUCUCUUGCUUCAUUAGCUUUCUCUUCUCUAUGACACUCUUUGCACAUACGUAGAAGAAGCUUGGUGGUGGGAGUUAGACCUUCUUGCGCAUCUCGCAGAGAAGGCUCCACAGCUGUGUAUCGAUCAUUCUGGCAUACAUUAAAUAGUUAAACUGUGAAGGCUGCCUCUUGGUAAUUACUGUUAGCAUAGCGAGCAUUUAAGAUAAAGAACUGGGAACAAACCUAACAGAUUGUAGCAAAUUUGUUUUUUUUGGCCCUCGCUGUAUUUGACUUUGACAUCUCUGCUAUAGAGGAACCUUUGGAGUAUCAAACAAACGAUCUAUGAGGGUGUUCACAUCAAAACAGCAGCUCUGGGAGGCUAUUCUGACAUCAUGCAAAGAAAUUCAAGCAGAAACUUUCCAAAAACUCACAAGUUUAAUGGAUACAAGAAUUGUGACUAAUGUCAAAAAAGGGUUCCUAUGUUCACAUAUAACUAGGCCUGUUGGGAUGUUUUUGAUUGAACUAGCCUUUGAUUCAGUAAAUGUGUCCUCCGGAUGCUGCAAAUUUCACAGAUGACCAUUUUCAGUUCUUUACAACCUAUAAAUGUUUUGAAACUGUUGUGUAUGACAAUAAUAAUUAUAAUAAUAAUGGAACGGUGCAUUUUGAGUAUUCUUUAUUUUUUUAACAAUGUCUGUUUUCAUUGGGAGGUUUGCUCAAUAAAAAUACGAGAUAGAACAGUUGAUGACUUUUAUCCUGCAUUGACCAUUUACGAAAACCCGAGAAAAAUAUAAUUUGCAUAAUAAUUUGGAGCAGGAUGUACGUUCUCACCCUCACCUAUGGUUACGAGCUGUGGAUCGCGACCGAAAGAAUAAGAUCCCAGAUACAAGCGGCCAAAAUGAGUUCCUCUGCAGGGUGUACGGGCUCUCCCCUGGAGAUCGGGUGAGAAGCUCGGUCAUCUACUGCUUCUCCACGUUGAGAGGAGCCCGAUGAGGUGACUCGCGCAUGUUUGUUUCUUUCAGCUAGUACAUUGUCACCACUCUUCACAAUUGCACUGUUAACACAUUACUUGCCAAAAUAGUAUAAUAAUUACACGUAUAUACGUAUGUUACUGUUGCUAUCACAAAAAAUAUUAGGAUGUCUCCUGGAGACCUCCUUGGUGAGGUGUUCCGGUCAUGUACCACCGAAAGGAGGCCCUGGCGACGACCCAGGAUAUGCUGGAGAGAAAAUGGAUUGAAAAUGCCUUGGGAUGAUCCCCAGAAUGAGCUGGACAAAGUGGGUGGGGAUAUGGUAGUUUGGGCCUCCCUGCUGAAGCUGC